GAGGGUAUAGCUCAGUGGUAGAGUGUGUGCUUAGCAUGCACCAGAUCCUGGGUUCAAUCCCUAGUAUCUCCA
rnacentral:tRNA from 1 species